ACUCUUCGCAUGAGGUGGCCAAAGUACUGGAGUUUCAGCUUUAGCAUCAUUCCUUCCAAAGAAAUCCCAGGGCUGAUCUCCUUCAGAAUGAAGUGGUUGGAUCUCCUUAGACCCUUAUUUAUUGAAAUGUAAAGCUGUUAGCAUAUUAUUGAAAGAAGUUUGGUACUAUCCCCUUUAUUCAAAAUAUUACAUAUAUAUACUUAUUUAUACAAGAUAUGUCUAGAGAGAUAUACGUUAGAAGGUUAGCAGUGUUUUUCUCUGGAUCAUAAGAUUUCCCAUGCAUUGUUCUGUAUUGCUUCAGUUUUUAGACUUUUUAAAACAUUGUUGCCAAAACAAUCACAUUUCCAAGUGAAAUAUGUAAAAUAAAUUGAGAAAAGCAACCAAAGAGGGAGAGAGAAGAGAAAAAUGGGAAUAAGAGAAAGUUGUAUUCAAAUGAAGCUGUGGAAUUUUAUUUCGCAGAGGGACUGAGUGAUGACACAGAGGGGUCAAGUCACUGGGGAGAAAAAAGAAAGCUUCUUACAAUUUUCAAGACAAAAGGUCACACCACACAGUGCAGGGCAGCAUGAGGAAACGCCAGGCUUAGUCCAGAGGCAGUGGGGAGAAAGCAUAGCCCAGAGCAUUUAUUGGGUUUUCUGUGGCUAGAGCAGGCCAGGGGAAACAGUUCAGGAUUCGCUGUAGGGAUAAUGUUGGUGGGCUGUGGGAUACAGCAGUGGUUAUCUGGUGCCUGGCCCUGUGUUGAUUUAGGGCAGAGGGAAUAUUUGCUUGGUGUGUGAAAGUGAAAUGAAGGAGGUGGCUGGGUGUAUGGGCAUGAAAUUGGUUGGUUUGCAUGUGAAAAAUGUGUUUGCAGGCAAGUUGCUUUUUAUCUCUAGGAAUUAGCCAACCCUGGGAGGGGCUGUCAAAACAUCAUAAAAUUUAAAACCAUGAUUAAUGCAGGAGGGAUAGAAUGGAAGAAAGGAGAGAUAAUGGAAGAAAGGAGAGAGAAUAGUUAUUUGGGCAAGGCCUUUUGAAGGUGGAGGUGAUGGUCUGAGGAUUACUGGAGGGUCUUGUUAUGCCCUGAAGGAGAAGCGGUGCUUCCUUUAAAGGACGUGGCUUCCUUGGGAGACCAGCAGAUGAUACAAGAACCUAUGUUGACUGCAAUACGGACCACUCUCCACCAUCAUGGUUGACUUUGAAUCAGGCCCACCAGGCUGUGCUCUCCCAAAAGACUGGGACCUUCAAGUUGCGACACUCUUCAUGUCUAGCAAGGUACCUGCUACCCAAUAAUGUUUUCUGAACAUGGAAGUCAGCAGUGAACAACCAAUGGACUUAAUGAACUUGCAAGAGCAUGAGAGACAUUCUAGCUCUUAGAAUCCUGUGGGUGCGGACAGCUGCGAAGGAUGAAGCAUUUGGGGUGCAUUUUGGGCCAGAUUCAUGUGUAAAGGGGCCUUCCAUGUUCCAGCCAGAUCCCUUCCUCCAGGCCUGUGAAUACACAGCAAGGGCGAUGAUGACACUGACUCACUUGGAACGUGAGGCGUAGGGGAGGCUCGUCAGGGGCCGAGGGCCAGCGACGGAUGAGGAGGAGACACCUGCCCCAGCUGUUGCUCGUUCUCUUUGUUUCCCACUACUCCUGCCCUGGAGCUGGUCUGUCCCAACCUUCAUUUUGCCCUCUCUGGCCAAGACCGAUGGUCCCCUAGGCACUCUCCUUUCCUUUCACCUCUGCAAGGCUCGGGUGAGAGUCACUUUUUGCCUCUUUUCCAUGCAGCCAAGUCCCUGAGGCCUUAGUCAGCCUGCGUGGGUGUUGUUUAUCCCCUCAUCCAUCUCCCGAUUCAGGACACAGUCUAUUAAGUGAAACACAGUGGAGUAGAGACGGCGGCUGCGGAUGGUGUGUUUUCUUUCCUUCACACCUCUCUCCUCUUAACCUCUGAUCUCUUUGGCCUUUUCCUCCAGAUUUCUUGCCACAGACCUCUCAUCAUGUAUCUUUCUUUCCCUGGAUGCUCUCGGAGAGUUCUGAGCUGGGAAUAUGUCUCGGGGCAAUGACCGUGCAUCCCGUCCUUUUGUUAUGACUGACCGCUGAGGGGCAUGACCCUCUUUCUCCUCCUGAGCUAUGUAUCCCCAGAGAUUCCUAAACAUUUCUGAGCCUCGGGGUACUAAUUCAUAAAAUGGGAUCACAAAGGCUGUCUUUAGAGCAGGCUGGUUGUGAGUGUAGAGAAACACAGUGUAGAGAAAGUAGACUGAAAGGUCUUAGUAACUGUACUUCAGGCUGAGAAGAUAGAGCAUAUAUUUUCACUAUUUGCAGGUCCUGGAGAGAAGAGGCAAGCUUGUUCUCUUCCACUUACCACUGUAGAUGCUACUUUUAUCUUUUCUUUCUUCUCUCUUUCUGUUCCCUUUCCACUUCUAGCCAUCCUUCAGGUGGUCUUUGAGGUUGACCACUGUACGCUCUGCAGAGGGUACUUUGCGUUCUCUUCCUCUCUUCUGCAAGCCAGGCUACCGGCAGUGAUGGGUGAAAUCCAGAGACCAGGAGUAGCCACCCACCCCACCCCAACUCCCACACACUGCAGUGACCCUGAGGGCUAACGUCCCUCCAGGGAAGUCCCUGGAGGCUUCCCUCUAGGGAAGCCAAUGAGAGGCAGCGGAGAGAACUGCUGAUCUCAAAGUUCUUUUAGCUGCAAUGAUUUACUCACUCAAUCUGUUUUCCUAAACAAUUCUCUGAUCCUUCCUUUUCUUCCUUCCUUGGGUGCUUGACAGGGCAGAGUCCUGACCUGUAUGCCCAACAGGACAGGACCAUGUUUCCCACCCAGUGGUGCCCCCUGGGCUCCUGUGUUUUGUCCAACACAGGACAAAGUGGACUUCAGGGCUCCAGGACAGAGUGGACUUUGAAAACUUGUCUGAAUGGCAGACUCUGUGACCCACGGGUAAUCGGGAAAGUGAUAUGCAUGGAUGACAGAGUUGGGGGUAAGUGGAAGGGCAACACAUCUCUACUCUGAGCCAAGCUUGUUGUCGGUCAUGCUAUUCCUCUUUCCCAGCGUGGCUCUUGCUUUCUGGAGCACCAGGACUCCAUGUUACCCAGAGAGGCCACGUACUUGGGAACCUCAUCCAGCAUUGUGCUUCUAGGGCAUUCCAAGGAGAACGAAGCUUUGCCUACAUCAUCCCUGUCCUGACUUUUCCACCAAUAAAAUGGUGACCUACAAAUGAAAAUAUAUCCAGAAUUUUCCGAAGCCAAGUACCAGAGCAUACGUUUUCUGUGGUCCCUAAAAUCCAAGCCCUCGGCCAUUUCAGGCUGAAGACGGUCGGGGUGGGGAAGAAACACUUGUGGGUAGGGAAAUCCCUGGCUUGUAGCCCCUAAAAUUCCAACAGUAUGCCUUCAUGAUGGACUCUUUUUUCCUGUUUGGCACAUUGCCAAUUCCUCCAGGUAUUUUCUUUAAAUAAAUUAUGAGAAAAAUUCACCAAGCAAAUUUUAACAACUAGAUAUUGAAUCCUUAGUGUGUUUGAAAGCAAGUGUUUUAAAUCAAGGCUUUGAGUGGAUAAUGGUUUAUAGACUCACCUUUUCCCCACUUGCCUUUCGAUUUCCUAUGAAAAGCUGGGAAAGUAAACAUCAGCAUAUUCAUUUAAUUUCCCUUUGGCUCACCAAGCCUUGUUUCUAGAAAUAUCUUAGAUUUCCUCUGACAACUCUGCUAUCUUUCUAUUUCGCUAAUCUGACAUCAUCCCUGAUUGUCCCCCCUUAGCAGUCUCGGUUUACAUAAUUACAUUUUCAAUUUGUCUGUACCAGUAUCUGAACUCCUCUUGGGAUAGUUUUUUGACUGUUUGUAUAAGAUGAGGAUGAUGAUGGUGAUAGUGUGGGGGGUGAGGAAGUGAGGGAAUUUUGUCCUUUUUAAAUUCUGCUUUUCAACCCAGGAGCACCUGUGAACCUGUUCAUUUGCUUGGCAUGCUCACUCACUGCUACAUAAAUUUACAUGACUUAUAAGUAAAUCUAUGAGUUGCUAUAUGUUGGGUAUUCAUGCAGCCUCCAGAUUCUUCCUCAGGAUCCUCCUUCUCCACCUCCAUUUAUCUUUUCAGAAAGUAGAAGUCUCUCGCAUUCCUGGUUCAAGCAGUUCUGUCUUCUAGAAGACAGUGCCACUUCUGGGAGCCAAGUUUUUCCUCACAAAUCCUCAUCUGUAGUCAAACGGUGGGAUAGGAUGGUAUCUGAGGCCCUUGUAUAAACCAGUGAAAGAUUAAUUGAGAUUGUAACACCUGGACUGAGCUGAUGUCAGGAAGGGCCAAGAAACAACCAAGAUCUAACAGACCUCUGCUUUAGAGUCACAAAUGGCUUGGGUGGAAAACCACUAGAGAACAGAGAAAGAGGAUUAGAAUUUAAGUGAAGCAUUAAAAUACCCCUCAAGACUUCAUCUCUCUGUUUCUCAAUGCUCUUGAUUGUGUCCUUGGAAUCUAGAGUGGUGUGGCCUGUGUUCACUGAUGUAAAUUGUACAGUGUGAAUGACUAUGGCACCAUAUUGGGGAGGCAUCACAUAUCCUGACAACAGCCCUUGUUGCUGUUCAUGUGAUAUUUCUAUAGAAUUUUGUGUCCAUGGCUUUUGAGGAUCUGGCCUUUCUGUGAAAGAUAGAGAAUUAAUCAAUAAAUGGCAGGGUACCCAUUUUGCAAUGUGGGCAAAUAUCCACCUGGAGGUAGGGAAAACACACACACACACACACACACACACACACACAGACACACUCCCUUCUGCUAAUAGGAAAAAACACAUUCUCCUCUACUUUCCAGGUGGCACAGUGGUAAAGAAUCUGUUUGUCAGUGCAGGAGACGCAGUUUCAAUCCCUGGUUGGGAAGAUCCCCUGGAGUAAGAAAUGACACUCCCACUCCAGUAUCUUGCCUGGAAAAUUCCAUGGACAGAGGAUCUUGGUGGGCUACAGUCUAUGGGGUUGCAAAGAGUCAGACAUGACUGAGCCGCUGAGCGCGCGUGCACACACACACACACACACUGCUAACAACAUCCUGCCCUCACUCAAGCAAUGUUUGGAUUAAAGAACUGCAAAGCUAGUCUCUAGAUACCCUAAGCCUGUCGUUAGCCUUACCCAUUGGUCUGGAAUCCUCCUUGUUCAUGUUGUAUCUGCUGUAGAUGUGUGGAGAAAGAGGCAAACACUGAUCUUUUGUAUACCAGGUCAUAGCUGAGGGUGGCCUAUGGAUGGAAUAGCUGCUUCAGCCUGUAGUGUUUGGUACAUUUGUAUCCUAGACAUCAGCCAACCAAAAUCUUCUAUCAUCUCUGAGUCUGAAAAUUGAAAAUAUUUGUUUAGAGUAUGGCAAAUACAGGACCAUACUUAAAUCAUUUCUGUACCCUGACAGUGACCAGCACAGAACUUUGCAGGAAAUCAUGUUAGUUUUGAUGAUCAUGGUAAAGCUAAACAAUGCAAAAUAGUAAAAUGUUUUUCAAAAUGGAUUCUAUAAAUAGAAAGUUUUAUGAAGCUAGCUAUUUUGCUUUAUUUGUAUCUUACAACCACGUUACAGGAAUCAAGAAUUUCAAUGCUAUAGUAUGGAAAGCAGAGACUAUGUUUUAUUCGUCACUGCAUUUCCAGGCUUUAUCAUAGGCCCUGGCAAGAAAUAUACAAUUUCUGUUAUGAUUGUACACUUACUUUGUGCACAGAAAGAUUUAUUAAGCAUUGAUUGCAAAGCAGCAAGGCUGCCACUUGUAGGACCAAAGAGACUGCACUGUAUUAAUAUAAGAUAAGGAGCUGCUUUUAACAUUUAAUACAAUGUGAGCAGCAUCCCCUGACUGGGUGUUUAACUAUAUCUUGCUGUCCUUGAGAAGCAGUAAGAGUCAAGUUUCUCCUCUCUUGCAACUUGCAGUUUUAAAAAGAAAGACAAAAGAUAAACUCAUUAACAAAUAAGUUAAUUCUAUAAAUUCAUGUAAUGAAAAGUUUUCCCAAAAAAGGAAAAUAGGAUGCUAGCAUUAAUAGCAAUGGAUGCUGAGGGAGAGGCUAUUUAGCUACUAGGGUCUGAAAAGGUCUUUCUUGAGGAGGAGAAUCUAGAGUUGAGACUCAGAUGAUUAUAAAGAGGUAAGCAUACAUUCCCUGGAGGAGGAAACGGCAAACCACUCCAGUAUUCUUGCCUGGGAAAUCCCAUGGAGGAGAAGCCUGGCUGUCUAUAGUCCAUGGGGUCUCAAAGAAUUGGAAAUGACUGAGUGACUGAGCACACUAGGCUACGUUAGCUUGUUUCAUCUGACAUCAACCCUAUUGAGUAAUAUUAACCCCAUUUGGGGGGAGAGUGAAAUAAAUUGGGAUAUUGGGAUUGACAUAUAUAAACUGAAGAUAUUGUGUGAAUAAGAGACAACUAAUGAGAAUCUACCUGUACAGCACAGGAAAUUCAUUUCAAUGUUCAUGCAUGCUUAUGUGAGUAUUCAGUCACGUCUGACUCUUUGUGACCCCAUAGGGGUCAUCUGUUCAUGGGAUUUUCCAGGCAAGAAUCCUGGAGUGAGUUGUCAUGCUCUUCUCCAAGGGAUCUUCAUGACCCAGGGAUC